rnacentral:tRNA from 1 species
GCCCGAGUGGCGGAAUUGGUAUACGCGGCGGACUUAAAAUCCGCUUCCUUUACCGGAUUAUGAGUUCGAGUCUCAUCUCGGGCACCA